GACGAACGCUGGCGGCGUGCUUAACACAUGCAAGUCGAACGGAAAGGCCCUGCUUUUGUGGGGUGCUCGAGUGGCGAACGGGUGAGUAACACGUGAGUAACCUGCCCUUGACUUUGGGAUAACUUCAGGAAACUGGGGCUAAUACCGGAUAGGAGCUCCUGCUGCAUGGUGGGGGUUGGAAAGUUUCGGCGGUUGGGGAUGGACUCGCGGCUUAUCAGCUUGUUGGUGGGGGAGUGGCUUACCAAGGCUUUGACGGGUAGCCGGCCUGGGAGGGUGACCGGCGACAAGGGGACUGAGGGAGGGACCAGACGCCAACGGGAGGCAGCAGUGGGGAAUAUUGUACAAUGGGGGGGAGCCUGAGACAGCAACGCCGCGUUCGUGAUGACGGCCUUCGGGUUGUAAACCGCUGUAACCUGAGACGAAGCGGGAUUGACGGUAAUGGGUAAAGAAGCACCGGCUAACUACGUG
rnacentral:rRNA from 1 species